GUGCUGUAACAUACGCACUGUUUAUUGAUUAGUUGUGACUGGUGAGAAAAUUGUAGAGUCUCACAAGGCCCUGGGAGUUGAAGCAACUUUGUAUACUCUGGGGCUCCACUUUCUCAUUGUCCCAUCCCUCCUAGAUUUCUUCUUUUUGACUCUGAUUACCUAUGGGUGGCUUCAUCAUCUUUAGCUAUCAAGGACUUGUCUGUGCUCUCUGUCAUCAGCUCUGCAUUCCCUUGGGUUUCCGUCUCAGUCUCCUUCUCAGGCUCCCUGAUACUGUUAACUCGCAAAUCCCCACCUCUUCUUGAGCCCAAAUAUCUCUGACUUGGUCUUGAGUUUCCAUCUGUCUUCUGGGGAUUUCCACGAGGUUGUCUUCAGGAUAUCUGAGUUCUCCAUGUUCCCAACUGAACUCACUCUUCUUCCUUUAUACCUCUUUUUUCUCUCCAGGUCCUUGAUGCCACUUAAUGUUAUCACACAGCUAUCUGGGCUACAAAACUCAUUCUUUUUUUAAUUCUUCCUCUUCCUCAUCUUCAUGGCUAAUCCGUCGCUGAUUCUUGUCAGUUCUCUUUUUAUUUUGUUCUGGUUUCCUCUAUCCUCCCCACGACUGGAAUUCAGGCUGUUGCUCUGUCUCUCCUGACCUGCUCAUGUGCAGAGGCCUCCUA
rnacentral:lncRNA from 10 species